AGCAGCCGCGGUAAUUCCAGCUCCAAUAGCGUAUAUUAAAGUUGUUGCAGUUAAAAAGCUCGUAGUUGAAUUUCGGAAUCGACGGAUUGAUCGCGCCUUCGGUGUGUACUGGUCUUGCCGGUUUCUCCCUUCUGACGAACCACGAUGUCAUUAAUUUGGUGUCGUGGGGAAUCAGGACUGUUACUUUGAAAAAUUAGAGUGUUUAAAGCAGGCAUUAGCUUGAAUACAUUAGCAUGGAAUAAUGAAAUAGGACGUUUGAUCUUAUUUUGUUGGUUUCUAGGAUCGACGUAAUGAUUAAUAGGGAUAGUUGGGGGCAUUAGUAUUCAAUUGUCAGAGGUGAAAUUCUUGGAUUUAUUGAAGACUAACUACUGCGAAAGCAUUUGCCAAGGAUGUUUUCAUUAAUCAAGAACGAAAGUUAGGGGAUCGAAGACGAUCAGAUACCGUCGUAGUCUUAACCAUAAACUAUGCCGACUAGGGAUCGGAUGAUGUUAAUUUUUAAUGACUCA
rnacentral:rRNA from 1 species